UUUAAUAUGGCAGAUUAAGUGCAAUGAAUUUAAACUUCAUAUAUAAAGAAUAUUUCUUUUAUUAAAA
rnacentral:tRNA from 1 species